GAUGAACGCUGGCGGCGUGCUUAACACAUGCAAGUCGAACGAACCUUCGGGUUAGUGGCGGACGGGUGAGUAACGCGUGAGAAUCUGCCCUCAGGAGGGGGAUAACGGCUGGAAACGGCCGCUAAUACCCCAUAUGCCGAGAGGUGAAAUGAAUUUCGCCUGAGGAUGAGCUCGCGUCUGAUUAGCUAGUUGGUGUGGUAAAGGCUCACCAAGGCAUCGAUCAGUAGCUGGUCUGAGAGGAUGAUCAGCCACACUGGGACUGAGACACGGCCCAGACUCCUACGGGAGGCAGCAGUGGGGAAUUUUCCGCAAUGGGCGCAAGCCUGACGGAGCAACGCCGCGUGAGGGAUGAAGGCCUCUGGGCUGUAAACCUCUUUUAUCAAGGAAGAAGAUC
rnacentral:rRNA from 1 species